AACGAACGCUGGCGGCAUGCCUAACACAUGCAAGUCGAACGAGACCUUCGGGCCUAGUGGCGCACGGGUGCGUAACGCGUGGGAAUCUGCCCUUGGGUUCGGAAUAACAGUUGGAAACGACUGCUAAUACCGGUUGAUGACGUAAGUCCAAAGAUUUAUCGCCCAAGGAUGAGCCCGCGUAGGAUUAGCGAGUUGGUGAGGUAAAGGCUCACCAAGGCGACGUUCCUUAGCUGGUCUGAGAGGAUGAUAAGCCACACUGGGACUGAGGCACGGCCGAGGCGGGGACGGGGGGGAGGGGUGGGGAGUAUUGGGGGAGGGGGGAAAACGUGAUCCAGCAAUGCCGCGUGUGUGGUGAAGGCCUUAGGGUUGUAAAGCUGUUUUACCCGGGGUGAUAAUGACAGUAACGGGUGAAUAAGCUCCGGCUAACUCCGUG
rnacentral:rRNA from 1 species